AUUUUCCUUUGUCCAUUUCAUUUGUCUCUCAAACCCUAGAAUAUAAAUACAGAAAUUCAUUUCCUCAAAUCAGAAAAAAAAAGAAAGCCCCAAAUCAGAAAAUUCAGAUCUCCAUCUCUAACAAAAUCAAGGCAAAAUUGUCACCUUUAUCCUUUAAGAUUCAAUCAGAUUAUUAUCACUGACCCAGCUUCAGAUAAGCUAUAAUCUUCAGAUACACAGACGUUAUUGAUCUAUAAUGGUUUUGUAAAAUCCGAAGAUUAUGAUAUCAGCUGCACUAACUGAUCUCUGCAUGCUUAAUUUUGGAUUUACUCGAGGUGGGGAUUGCAGAACACUUUGAUUUGAUCUAGCAAUCAAAUGGAACCGUAGCUCAGCGCUGAUAAUAGUGGUUCAUCAACUACAUUGUUUAGAUGCUGCAGAUGGGUGGGAACAUCAAAUUGUGAACAAAUCAGAUAGGUUUUGGAAGGGGCUUUUCACUCAUUUUGGACUUGGGGACUGUGCACAUGUUAUUGGAAGGUGUUUCUGAAAAUGCUGCUUCCCUCUUGAUUAGGUUACAUAUGGCACGACGCACAGGUGAGCUGCUACAAAUGUUACCUUGGCCUGCCUUGUAUGCGAAUUGUGUGGGCUGGAACCCGAGGAACCUGCGCAUGUUGGUAUUUGCUAGUAAUGACCGUGCUAUCCCAGUUAGAUGUUCAAACUCUAUUAACUUUAAGCGCAAACAAACCCAUGAAAAUUGGGUCGUUUGCUGUAGCGAUGGACGAACUUAAAAUUUUUAGUAGCAAAUAGAAUUAAACGUCAAUCAUCUCAGUUCAGUGGUGAUGAUAAUGAUUCAUCAAUAUUAACAUGGUCUGGAUGCUGCAAAUGGAUUGAAAGAUGUUGAAACAUCAAGUCGUGAACAAAUCAGAUAGGUUUUAGAAGGGGCGAGUUCAUUCAUUUCGGACUUGGGGACGGCUUAAAAAGGAACACAUUAUAUGAAUAUGUUAUUUGGAAGGUGUUUCUAAAACACUGCUUUUCUCUUGAUUAGGUUAUAUAUGGCACGAGGCACAGGUUGGCUGCUAGGAAUGUUACCUGGGCCUUCCAGAGCUGUGAACUGUGCUGGCUGGAAACCGUGGAAUCUGCACAUGCUGGUAUUAUUUGUAAGUGAUGGCCGUACUUUUCCAGUUAGAGGUUCAAUCUGUGUUAGCUUGAAGCACAAAGAAACCCAUGAUAAUGGGGUCGUCUGCCGUAGGAAUGGAUGGACUUAAAAUCUUCAGUAUCGAGAGAUGAUACAUCAAUCAUCUUAGUUCAGCGCUGAAGAUAACGAUUCAUCAAUUUAAUGAUCUAGAUGCUGCAGAUGGGUUGAACUUCAAGUUGUGGGAAAAUCAGAUAGGUUUUAGAAGGGAUGAUGUACAGAAUACUAGACUCGAGAGCUCUGAAAGUAAAGCACUGGAAAUCUGAUGCAGCGAGGAUUGAGUUAGAUCUUACUCUAGCACACGCUGUGGAUGAUGGAAUGAGAUACUAUUUUGGCCUCGUGGUGUAGAGUCUCGCCGCAGAGCUUCAAAGUCAUUUGAUGAUGAUUGAUUGCAGUCAAUUGCCAAUUAAAAUUGUCGUGGUUAGCAGGAGCAGCAAUACGUGGAGCAACUCAGGAUUACAGAUUACUAUCAGCAUCAAUUCAGCUACUUUGACGAAAGUUUGAUAUCAUCCAGGCUCUCUCACAACAACGAUCUCCACUCUUGGUGCAGUUAACUCGGAGGACCUGCCUCGUGGAGUCACAACCAACUUAAGACCAAGCAUCUCGGAUCAGUCUUAUCGAUUGCGGCCUAGUUACCUCGGGUCGGUCAAUCAGCUCGUGUCCAACCAUCCUCUUCUUUUGAAUUCACCUGCUAGCUUGGGAUACAUUCAAUCCACUUGGGUCAAACCAUCUCGGACAAGUCAGUUCGGAAAUGCAAUUUGAAUCGCUACCAACUCAGCCUCGGGCGAAACCAUCACGGAACAAAUCAGUUAACUCACUAGGCUCAAAAGCAUCUCAUACCAAAUCAGCUAUGGGCAGAUACCCUCUCCGAAGCAAUUAGGACGAGCUCAGACGAGCAAUACUGGAUCAACUCCUUCAUGUCAGGUCAACUCGGAGUCACCAAUUUCACUGGAUCAACUCCUACAUCGGACCUAGUCAGCUCAUACACAUCAGCUCGUGAAGUACCUAUCAACUCACUCGGGAUGGUCAGUUCAGAAAGGAUAAAGUCAGCUCGUUCCAGAUUAGCAUACUUGGUUCCGGUCAUUCAUCUUGGUACACGCAGGACUCGUAGUCGGCUAAAGACCAACUAUCAAGCAGGUAUCUCGGAAGUAAUUAUGUCAGGCCAGUCAUAGAGGUCCAUCCAAGUUCGCAGAGCUCACAAAGGUCCACCAAGCUUAUAAGCCACAUGAUGGGGAUAACGAGUUUAUAGGAGUUUCUUUGGUUUAAGGAUCAAGUUAGAGGUUACAGCAAGGCCAGGAACCAUGCCAUUUCAGCAUCGCUAGCAGCAAGAGAAAGCUCAAGUAGCUAUUCAAUCCGGUCAACUAGCUUGGUUUGAUCAUACCAGUCGCAGGGUCAACUAGCUCGCUCGUAAAAUGAAGUUUACCCCUCCCUCCAUAGGGAGAUGGGGGGUGGACGGGCCGUGGGGAAUCUGGGGAUUGACCCGUAUUGUUGAUUUGAAAGUUGCAAUUUCUUGCUUUGCUGCCUACUUUCCAACCUAAAGUUCGGAAUAUGAAAACUGGUAUUCUAAUGAAUUAGACAGCUUUUUUAUCUUCUCA